GUGAGGAAUUUUCCGCAAUGGGCGAAAGCCUGACGGAGCAAUGCCGCGUGAAGGAUGAAGGCCUAUGGGUUGUAAACUUCUUUUCUCAGAAAAGAAUUAUGACGGUAUCUGAGGAAUAAGCAUCGGCUAACUCUGUGCCAGCAGCCGCGGUAAGACAGAGGAUGCAAGCGUUAUCCGGAAUGAUUGGGCGUAAAGCGUCUGUAGGUUGUUUAAAAGGUAUUCUGUCAAAGAUUAGGGCUUAACCCUAGAUAGGCAGAAUAAACUUUUAAGCUAGAGUUUGGUAGAGGCAGAGGGAAUUCCCGGUGGAGCGGUGAAAUGCGUAGAUAUCGGGAGGAACACCAAAGGCGAAGGCACUCUGCUGGGCCAAUACUAACACUGAGAGACGAAAGCGAGGGGAGCAAAUGGGAUUAGAAACCCCUGUAGUCC
rnacentral:rRNA from 1 species